rnacentral:rRNA from 1 species
UACGGGGGGGGCAAGCGUUGUUCGGAAUUACUGGGCGUAAAGGGCUCGUAGGCGGCCAACUAAGUCAGACGUGAAAUCCCUCGGCUUAACCGGGGAACUGCGUCUGAUACUGGAUGGCUUGAAUCCGGGAGAGGGAUGCGGAAUUCCAGGUGUAGCGGUGAAAUGCGUAGAUAUCAGGAGGAACACCGGUGGCGAAGGCGGCCCUCUGGACGGAUACUGACGCUGAGGCGCGAAAGCGUGGGGAUCAAACAGG